UACAGAGGUCCCGAGCGUUGUUCGGAUUCAUUGGGCGUAAAGGGUGCGUAGGCGGUCUGCUAAGUUUGAUGUGAAAUCCCGGGGCUCAACCCUGGAAUGGCAUUGAAUACUGGCGGACUAGAGUACCGGAGAGGAAACUGGAAUUUACGGUGUAGCAGUGAAAUGCGUAGAGAUCGUAAGGAAGACCAGUGGCGAAGGCGAGUUUCUGGACGGUAACUGACGCUGAGGCACGAAGGCCAGGGGAGCAAACGGG
rnacentral:rRNA from 1 species